ACCAGUCUCUCGAGCUGAAAGAAAACGCAGCUGAGGAGAUAUGAGGAAACUUCCACCUACAGUAAGCAGAUGCUGAGGCCCAGAUUUCCCUGCUAAGCACUCCAAGGCUCAUCAUGCUCGGAGAGUCCAAUCUGAGGGCAAAAAAUGGAUGCUUUCCAUCGAGUGCUGAGUUCUCCUCCAAUUGAGUGACGGUUGUGAUUUCACUUCUGCUCUAGCCUUUUUGCGUCAUACUAUGUAUGAGGCAGCCACUACAUUGGGAUUUAUCCAGAGGGUAGAGUCCAGCCCAGGAAGUCAACUAGUUCAUGUCCAGAUUUAAAAGAAUAAUAUUUCUGAAAAAAAGGUCUUGGAGAAAAACAAUAUUCAGGUUUGAAAUCCUGCUGUAAAUGUAAAUCAUUUAACUUUUAUGCAUUUGUAAUUUACCAGAAACUUUUUAAUAAAUAUUGAUUGUUUUGUGUGUUCAGAAAAAAAGUGUUUUUGUAUGUUCAGAAAAGUGUUGAAAUUAAAUGAAACAUUCACAGAAAAAUGUUAAUUUUUUUUUAAAUA